rnacentral:ribozyme from 2 species
ACUCGACUAAGCGAGAAUAAAAAGGCUUUAGGCUUAGAGCGUUCGCCCUUCGGGGCGGGGUAGUA